ensembl:lncRNA
UUACUGAGGGGUUGUUACUAGCUAUCCCAAUGUCCUGAUACUUUUUCUAUAACCUCUGCCUCCAGCUCCCUGUGUUCCUGAGGAUGUGACAGUGGUAGCGUCCUGCAAGGCAGAAGGUACAGUGGUGUCCUGGGCUCACUCCUUGGUGGCCCAGUCCUACCUCCUCACCGCCACCAGCCGAGGCGGUGACGUCCGCACCUGUAACAGCUCUGUGAACAAAUGUACCCUGGCUAAGCUCCACUGUGGUCAGCCCUACACAUUCAGCGUGACCGCCAGCGCCAGCACCUGCACCAGCAAGGCCAGCCCCAACGUCACCUUCAGCACAGUGCCCUGUGACCCCAUUGGCCUGUCCGUUCAUGUCCAGUGUGAGACUAGCUCAGGCGUGCUGUCCUGGUCCCCCAGCCAGGGCUCUGUGGGGUACUACGGCUUUGCCCAGUCUGAGGAUGGGGACAUGCUGUACUGUGACAGCAUGGACACCAACUGCACAAUCCAGGGUCUUGACUGUGGAGCCAUGUACAACUUCUCUGUGCUGGCCUCUGAUGGAGCCUGCAACAGCUCAUACAGCCAACCCCUGCUUGAGGGAGCAGCCCCCUGCGCCCCUGCCACCGUGCGGAACCGCAUGCGACUAAUCGGCAAGACCCACUUUGCCCGUACCUCCUGGAGUGCGGUCGUCUGCCCCAAUGUCGAGUACCUGGUUGAGAUGACCGGCACUAUCCUGGAUGACCCGCAGGCCAUGUUUGAUGUCUCGUCCUAUUGGAUAAAGUACACCUUCUUUGAGUUGGCCCUGCCCUGUGGCUCCUCCUACAGUCUGACAGUCCGUACCAGGAACUCUGCCGGAACAAGCAAGCCCUCCACCCCCAUUACCGGGACAACAGCUCCCUGCGCACCUCUGGGCGUGAACUACACGGGUGACAACACGCCUGCCAUGCUGUCCUGGGAGGCUGCAGUGCUCGCCACACAGUACACCGUCUACGACGUGACCGGAGACAGCCGCACGCAGGUGUGUUCCACCACGGAACUGUCCUGUCAGCUUUACAACGUCCAGCCAGACGCCAUCGAGGUUACCGCUAGCAACGCUGUGGGAGAGAGCGUCCCCACCAAAGACAUCAACGGGCCAUCAAAUCGCCACAGAAGAGAUCUGGGGAUGGCAAAGCCUGCCACAUUUGCUGAAUUCCGCAUCAGAGAGGAGCUGUCCGAACCCAAGGUGUUAGUUGCUAUGGUAACAGGUGUUUCUCUGCACAUGGAGUGGGCACCGGUGAGGGACGCCACCCUCUACACCAUUAUCAUCGUCCAAGAAGACACACCCUCCAGACGCCAGGUGCUGACCGUCUCUGAAGAGCUGACCAAUGUGAACGACCUCGAGCCCUCCACAAGAUACUGCAUCUUCGUCUCGGCCAAGAACGAACACACCCAGAGCAACUACUCCAAGGAGUGUGUCACUACUGGAGUCCCCAUGUGAUUGGCUUGACUUUCACCCCAACCAAAUGGACAUUACAGUUGCCAGGGCAACCACCAAUCGAUGUAGUGUAAAGAGAAUCAUCAGUGACUGCUUCCUAUCCCUAGAAGUAAACACACAAGGCAGAAGAGAGGCUUUUCAACAGACUGAGGGACAGGGAGGGGUUACUGUUGUUAAGCUUAAAUUACUAUCACAAAAGGCAGUGUUUAUCGCAUAGAUGAUCCUACUAAAGAUAUGUUAUUUUCGAUUAACUUUAAAGCUGAAAUGUGGUAUUUUUUUGUUGUUACUUUUUAGAGCUAGGUAUCAUUUUCUUGUUUUUUUGUAGUCGGUAAGAUAGCAGCAUGUGUCUUUAUAAUGUGUAGUUCUUUGAAAAAAGUGUGCCUAAAAAUGUAUUUUUUAUUUAUCUUCAAAUUGUUAUAUUUUUGAGACCUACACGAACAACUUUUCUGUCCACUAAAUGUAUUUUAGAUUCUUCUGUUGGUUGUAUACAUGAUUUGAAACAAAGAAAAAGUAGAUAAAGAGAGCAAAUAAAUGCUAUCAAGCAAGUAGUAAUUUAUGAAGCAAUAUUUUUGUUAACCAUACAGUAUGUGU